rnacentral:sRNA from 2 species
ACCACGGUCUUGUUCACUAACCACAGCCAACACCAGCGAUCUCAAGGUACACUUACACACGCCAUGCCACGCCUGGUCGGCUUCGAAAUCACAUCCACUCACCGUGCAACCACGCGGGGGAUGUCGCGGUAGACUCAGCAAUCAAUCCAUCCCUGUCCAACUCCCUCCAAGCAAUGGGCUUAAUUGGCCGUCUCUUAACCCGCAACAUCCACCCGCAAACUCGGCCAGAUAGACAGCACAACGGCUGUGCUGUGACUAAAGUGGAUACAGCAAGCACAAGUUCUCAUUAUUUUAUUGAUUAACUUAUCAAGGCAAGCGGAAAACAUGUCUUGGGCAAGUGCCCUCACCAGCGUCGCCUCCUACGCAGUCUCCCCCGUCAUCCUAACUAUCAAUAUUCUGCUGGCCGUGCUACGAGCGCUCGCAACUCCCUGGAUACAUGUGGUACACUACAUAUUCCGUAUUUGGGUCCUCUUACCACUGCACAUCUUGUCCAAAUUCGAGCCGCUCUUAAUCUUCCUCAGCGUCGCUGGUGCCCUUGGUGUCACGGCGGGGAUAUCUCUACAUUUCUCGUCAGGAUAUAUGCAUCAGCUGCUUGAUAUCCGUACUGGAGGCGAGGACAACGACUACACAACCAAAAAGGGAAAAUUUGUAGUUGAUAAUGGUAGCAGCAGUAACAACAAUCUAACCCACCCACGCCAAAAUCCCAGGGACGGCAGGAUGUAUACCACUUCGGCGGGCUCUAGCAGGGCAUCCUUAAGGGAUAUUAUGACGGCGCAGAAUAAGCCUUGGCUCGCCAGAAAUAGGAAUGAAGAGCAGACCGCGAUGACGAGCUUGUGGCAAGUACCGGCGUUUAAAAAUGAGCGGAAAGAGGAGACGAAAAGGGAUGAUGAGAGCGAGAUAGAGAGUGAGCAGGUACCUAGGGGGGAGAGAGAUAGGGAGGACUUACUUGCCACGAUAAUUCUGGAGG